rnacentral:lncRNA from 1 species
CUUUGUCCUGGUUUUGCACUGAUGUUAUCUCAUGUUUGGAGAGGUGUCCUCAAGCUCAUCUUUCCUUUGCUUGAAGGGAAGCUGUCCCAAUGGCCUCAGAAGCACCAAGUGAGGAUGCAGAACGUGCAGCUGAGCCUCCUGCAGCUCCCCUGCAGGGGAACAGGACAUUCCAGUGGGGAUCCAUCCUUGCUGCAGUGAAGGACCAGCUCCCAUCCCUGGACUCUGACUCCUCCACAUCUGAUUGUGAGAGUGAUGAGGAGCUUUUCAUCUUCCAGAGGGACCUGCCCAACUUAAUUCCAGACCUGUCAGAGGAACUGAUGAUGUUUGCCCUGGAAGACUCCCAGGAGCAGCAAAUCCAGGAGACAGAAAGACUUCCAUGGGAGAUCUGGAACGAAGACCUGGAAAGUUUUGACUUUCAGGAAAAAACAGAUGGUGCCCAAAUCAUUGCAAAAGAAGAUGUACAAAUGAUUAAAGAUGAGGCUGCUGAACCUGCCAGCCAGACUGAAGAAAUGCCAAGCCAAAAGAGAGCUGUUCUUGAAGAGUCUCCCUCAGAUUCCACAGAUCACCUUGAGGAGAAGGAAAUGGGCAGGACUCAGGCCAAGGAAAGAGCAAACUCCUGGCCUAUCACAGCAGUGCCUGUGCAAGAGCUGUACACUAAAGAGGAGAGAAAAAAGCUGAUAGAGACAAAGAUACUGUCCAAGAUCCUUGUGGAGCCAUCCCCAAAGCAGGAGGUCAAACGUCCCUCCCAUGGCAUCAACAACAGCCUGGGAAGAUUUGCAAAGGCAGAAACCUCCUCAGAUGAGCAUCUUGGAGAAGUGAUCCAUUUGUCAUUGCAGGCAAGUGGCAAUAAAAUGAAGCUCUGGGGGUGCUGCAGGUGGGCUGGGGCACAGUGCAGGGCCUGCAUAACCCCACUGCAGGGAGCAGCUGAGGUCCCACUCUGACACUCCACAGGGCUGGGUGUUACCAAAAGCUGUCCCAGAGCAAGUCCAAACCAUGGCAAAAGCUGCUGCAGAUACCCAACUGAUAACCAACAUAUGAAAAAUUACUGCUAGAAACAAAAGGUACAAGGAAAUUGUUAGUAGUCAAGGCCUACUACUCUGAAAGGACUUAACCUAACCACAAAGUUGCUAUUUUAAAUUUUAUUUUAUUAUUUAUUUUAAUUUUUUAUUUUUGUGAAAUAAUGCCCAAACUUAUCUUGUAACAUACUCCCCAAAUACUCUAGAGCACUGGAUUUCCCAGGGUUUCCCAAUUCAAGGACUUCUGUUUAAUACCAUUUUUACUGGUGUCCAAAGGAGAUGCACAUUCAGCCUGCUAGAACU